CCUCAACUACUAUCAAAUCACAAUAUGGUUUUUGAUGCAAUGAAUCAUUCUGCACCAUGUACUUCUUCAAUGGUGAGGAUGAACAUGCUGCUUGUUCUUAGUAAUUCAUGUUUGUCUGUUUUAAAUUUUUACUUCAGCAGGUGGAACCUCAACUACUAUCAAAUCAAAAUAUGGGUUUUGAUCCAAUAAAUCAUUCUGCAUCAAUUAUCUCUUCAAUGCAGGUAGAAUCUUAGCUACUGUCAAAUCACAAUUUCUUUUCUGAUCCAAGAAAUCAUUUUGCGCCAAAUACUUAUUUAAUGGAACAUCCUCAACCAGUUGCAGAAUUAUUUGCACAAUUCACUGCAAUAUUUGGGCGGUAUUUGCUGAAUUACAGCUCAGUAUCCGCACCAGUGGCCAAUUAAUCCACAAGGAUCCUAUUCCUCCUUGUACUCAAACGGCGCCUCUGGUAGUAACUAUACUUUGAGCUCUCAGUUUCAUGGAGGGCUUGAAGAUGCCUGGAUUGCACAAAGGAAUUUCCAGGAUAAAUAUCCUGAAGAAGCAACUGGACAAGACUCUUCCUACUGAUAACAUCAACACUUUCAUGGAUGAGCAAUCUGUAGACAUUCCUCUUGAUCUCAAUUAAAUUCUGGGGGAGAAUAUUAUUAUAUUAUUAUUGACAUUUCAAGAAUGGUUUACUCAUCUUUAACUUUGUAUCAGUGUUAUGUAAUCGUUUGCGAAUGAACUCAUUUUCAUAUUUAAUAGA